rnacentral:rRNA from 1 species
AUUGAACGCUGGCGGCAGGCCUAACACAUGCAAGUCGAGCGGAUGAAGGGUGCUUGCUCCUGGAUUCAGCGGCGGACGGGUGUGUAAUGCCUAGGAAUCUGCUUGGUAGUGGGGGAUAACGUCCGGAAACGGGUGCUACUAACGCCUGCGUCCUGCGGGUGCAAGUGGGGGAGCUUCGGACCUCUCGCUCUCAGGUGAGUCUAGGUCGGAUUGGCUAGUGGGUGGGGUAAAGGCCUACCUAGGCGACGAUCCGUAACUGGUCUGAGAGGAUGAUCAGUCACACUGGAACGGAAACACGGUCCAGACGCCUACGGGAGGCAGCAGUGGGGAAUAGUGGACAAUGGGCGAAAACCUGAUCCAGCCAUGCCGCGUGUGUGAAGAAAGUCUUCGGAGUGUAAAGCACGUUAAGGGGGGAGGAAGGGCAGUAAGUUAAUACCGUGCUGUUGUGACGUUAACAACAGAAGAAGCACCGGCUAACUUCGUG